GGCGUAUUUCGCACAGGCGGAGCUCGACCGCCGACCGAAGUGAUGAUCACGUUCAUCGAUGAUCACCGGCAGGUCUACGGGGUCGAGCCGAUCUGCAGGGUGCUGCCGAUCGCACCG
rfam:Burkholderia sp. STM 7296 strain STM7296 genome assembly, contig: BN2475_Contig_103